rnacentral:rRNA from 1 species
AGGUUUUCGGACCUAGAGACCGGCGCACGGGUGCGUAACGCGUAUGCAAUCUACCUUUCACAGAGGGAUAGCCCAGAGAAAUUUGGAUUAAUACCUCAUAGUAUUAUGAAGUGGCAUCAUUUUAUAAUUAAAGUUCCAACGGUGAAAGAUGAGCAUGCGUCCCAUUAGCUAGAUGGUAAGGUAACGGCUUACCAUGGCUACGAUGGGUAGGGGUCCUGAGAGGGAGAUCCCCCACACUGGUACUGAGACACGGACCAGACUCCUACGGGAGGCAGCAGUGAGGAAUAUUGGUCAAUGGACGCAAGUCUGAACCAGCCAUGCCGCGUGCAGGAUGACGGUCCUAUGGAUUGUAAACUGCUUUUGUACGAGAAGAAACACUCCUUCGUGAAGGAGCUUGACGGUAUCGUAAGAAUAAGGAUCGGCUAACUCCGUGCCAGCAGCCGCGGUAAUACGGAGGAUCCAAGCGUUAUCCGGAAUCAUUGGGUUUAAAGGGUCCGUAGGCGGUUUAGUAAGUCAGUGGUGAAAGCCCAUCGCUCAACGGUGGAACGGCCAUUGAUACUGCUAGACUUGAAUUAUUAGGAAGUAACUAGAAUAUGUAGUGUAGCGGUGAAAUGCUUAGAGAUUACAUGGAAUACCAAUUGCGAAGGCAGGUUACUACUAAUGUAUUGACGCUGAUGGACGAAAGCGUGGGGAGCGAACAGGAUUAGAUACCCUGGUAGUCCACGCCGUAAACGAUGGAUACUAGCUGUUGGGGGCAACUUCAGUGGCUAAGCGAAAGUGAUAAGUAUCCCACCUGGGGAG